rnacentral:ncRNA from 2 species
GGCAGAGUAGGAGCUUUACGUAAAGUGCUCAGAGAUGGGACGUUGCUUUGAGACGAAAAGUCUGUAAAGACUUGCGGUAAAGCCCCGCGUUCGCUGUU